AUUGAACGCUGGCGGCAUGCCUUACACAUGCAAGUCGAACGGCAGCACGGGGCAACCUGGUGGCGAGUGGCGAACGGGUGAGUAAUGCAUCGGAACGUACCUUUCAGUGGGGGAUAACGUAGCGAAAGUUACGCUAAUAACGCAUAUUCUGUGAGCAGGAAAGCAGGGGAUCUGAAGACCUUGCGCCGAUUGAGCGGCCGAUGUCAGAUUAGCUAGUUGGUGAGGUAAAGGCUCACCAAGGCGACGAUAUGUAGCGGGAAUGAGAGGAUGAUCCGCCACACUGGAACUGAGACACGGUCCAGACUCCUACGGGAGGCAGCAGUGGGGAAUUUUGGACAAUGGGGGCAACCCUGAUCCAGCCAUGCCGCGUGAGUGAAGAAGGCCUUCGGGUUGUAAAGCUCUUUCGGCCGGGAAGAAAUCGCACGGGCUAAUACCCUGUGUGGAUGACGGUACCGGAAUAAGAAGCACCGGCUAACUACGUGCCAGCCGCCGCAGUAACAC
rnacentral:rRNA from 1 species